rnacentral:rRNA from 1 species
GAUGAACGCUGGCGGCGUGCCUAAUACAUGCAAGUCGAGCGAACAGAUAAGGAGCUUGCUCCUUUGACGUUAGCGGCGGACGGGUGAGUAACACGUGGGUAACCUACCUAUAAGACUGGGAUAACUUCGGGAAACCGGAGCUAAUACCGGAUAAUAUUUCGAACCGCAUGGUUCGAUAGUGAAAGAUGGUUUUGCUAUCACUUAUAGAUGGACCCGCGCCGUAUUAGCUAGUUGGUAAGGUAACGGCUUACCAAGGCGACGAUACGUAGCCGACCUGAGAGGGUGAUCGGCCACACUGGAACUGAGACACGGUCCAGACUCCUACGGGAGGCAGCAGUAGGGAAUCUUCCGCAAUGGGCUAAAGCCUGACGGAGCAACGCCGCGUGAGUGAUGAAGGUCUUCGGAUCGUAAAACUCUGUUAUUAGGGAAGAACAUACGUGUAAGUAACUGUGCACGUCUUGACGGUACCUAAUCAGAAAGCCACGGCUAACUACGUG